UGUACUCUUUGUCUCCCGUACUAGAAUGUAAACUCUUUGAGGGCAGAUAUCCAUCUGUUCUGUUCACUAUAUGACAGUGACAUAGAGGAAGGAUUGAGCUCGAUGACCAGUUACUGAAUACAUGAAUAUCACAAGCUGUAAACCACACGGCUUAGACCACCCCCAUCUGAUCCAAGGCUCAGAGGAAUACAUGAAUUGCCCGAGCUCACACAGAACCAAGCCCUAGGAGUCUUAGAUUUCUAAUCACACCAUGGCAACAGUUUUACACUCUCUGAUUUCUUCAAAUCAUACAACAGCUAGGAAUUUGGGGGCUCUACGUUUUAUUUCAAUUUAAGAUUUCUUGUCUUUGAGGCUAAGAAUCCCAUAAUAAUUUUUGAAAACGAAACCCACCCAUUUGGAGUAAGAAUUGUUUGGGCUCAGAAAACAAUAACUCAAAAUGAGGGCUUCAGCAGCAACCUCAGAAACAAAAGUUUUUCUCUGGGCUUCUUGUGCUCAGGAUCCUACCUGUCAGUCCCAUCUCCUCAGAGGCUAGCCACAGAAACCAGAAUCCCUCUUCCCCAAGGCAGGUCAUAGAAACCAGAACGUCUUUCUUCUAAAGCCAGCCAUGAAACCUAAAAUUAUUCUGUAAGAACUUGCUAUAAAGAAAUGAUCUGACCUAGCUUGUUUGACUAUAGGUCAUAAGGUCCCCAUUCCAGAGAAGGUCCUGCCCCACCCGUAGAAGGAAGGAAUGCUGCUCAGAGAGGACAAGAAGGGUCUAGAGAGACAGGCCAUGCUGGGUUUUCCCCACUGGGUUUUGUCCAAUCAUAUUUCUACAAGGCUGUCUAUACUUUACUGAACCUAAGCAUAAAAAUGGACAAUUUCCCCUAUAUCUUUGGGUAUAAAUUCUGAAUGCUCCCGUAUAUACAUUUAAAAAAAAUUUUUAUCAUUUUUUUUUGUCUCCCCAGCUGUGUGAACCUGUAUACAUAUUAAAUAAAUUUACCGUAUGCCUUUUCUCCUAUUAGUCAAUCUGCCUGUGAUCUUUCAGCAAAACUUUAGGGGGCCAAGGGCUUUGGUCCUUACAGAGUCUUUAAUGUACACCUGAGUACAUGGGCAGCUCUUGAUUCAGAAAACUCUAGAAAGGUACUAUAGGCCUUUGAGGGUUAUGAUCUUUUAGUUGAUGAAGUUCUGUCUCUUGCUGUCUGUAGUUGAAUGGUACAGUAGCUAUCUUUUCUGAUAAAGGGCACAGUUAGAUUUGGGUCUAAUCAGGAAGCCAAAGGCCAACUUCCCAGUCCCCAAGUUUGCCAGACAGCGCUGGGUGGAACCUGUGUGAUUUCCAGAAUUCUCUCUCUCCCUUCCAAACCCCCAGGAGCCACCGUUCACAGUGGCACGGUCUCCUUCUAGUUUAAGCUGAUAAACGCUGAUCAAAGAAAGCAGGAAACAAUAGACAAGACGGUUAAAUCCACUUUCCAAAAUCUAAUCAGAGAAGUGCGGGCCCUGACCGGAGGGGGCGGGGGCAGCCGAUUGCGCAGCCGCAUCGCGGCAAGCGCCUGGGACGCGGUUCGCCUCCCGUCUUUGCCCCUGCACCUCCCACCAGGUUCUGGGAAGACGCCCCGAAACCCGAGCACGUGCGGCCGCGCGCGCCACCGUAGGUGCUGAGCGGGACGGCCGUUCCCACGCCGCCAGCCUCCCGUUCUCUCGGCGCCCCCGCAGGCGCCUCACUGCAAAGGGCUUUCCCGGCCCGGCUGGAGUGGGGAGGAGGAGCAGGUGCCGCGAGCCGCGGCUUCCUCGCCUGCGAGGGAAGACAGCCUGAAGUAGGUGAGACUUCAAUCUGGAUAGGGGUGGUGCAGAUGAAGAAAUUGAAGCCGGGAGAGACAAGUCUUAACAGUUCAGUUAUGGUGAAGAGACAUUUCUUGAGCAGGACAUCGGAACUAAAGAAGUGCCUCUAAAAGCUGAAUUCCAUAUUUUUUGGUUUCCAGAGAGUGCCACCUGCUGGUCCUAGUAGUUCCAGUGUUUCCUGGCUGUCACUAAUAGGCAACCUGAGGCUGGCUGGGUAUUGGUCUGAUAUUAGGUCCUGUCUGUCUGCUGCAAGAACUGUUUGCUAAGGCACGUGGUGCCCUGGAAACCCCAAGAGUCCUGGGGUCACCAAUUUGGCUGAGCUCAGCUGAGUGGUUCUUCUGGUCUUGACAGGGCUUGUUCACGCAUCUGUGGAAAAUCCCAGGACAGCACAGAAAAACUGCCCUCCAAACUGAGGUGGGACUCAGAAUCCAAAGAUAUGACUCAGACAAAUCUAGCUUGGUGAGUUAGGAUCGCUCAUAAUCUUGUCCAUAGUCUUCAUUUGGCCCCCCGGGCUCUCCUUCCCACCCUCCUCAAGGACUGGCAUUUUGAAAAGUGCCUCCUUCUACGUGCUCCUUCUCACCGGCAGUUAAACUCACCCGAACCUUUCCCACCUGGAAUGACAGCUUGUCCUUUAUAGCCCAGCUUCUUCAGGGCCCUUCAUACAACAGUUUGAAGAAAUGUCAACCAAAAUCUUUCAGUUAAUGAAAAAAAAUAUAUUUUGGCACAAAUUUUAAAAUAAUAAAAAUAAAGGUGAAUCUUUAAAAAUUUGCUCAUAAACACGAUAACAGUUUCAUGUUGGUGGGAGGGAUGAUGAUAUUGUUUGAAAUCAUUCACAUAUGCAACUUGAUAAAAAGCUUAAAUGACAGCUUAGUUUCCACACUUUGUUGUUUUAGUUCCUUAGACUUUACUUCUAUUGAUUUAGAGGGUACAAAUUCACAACGGUAAGUCAUCAGGCAUUGCAGCAAGCGCUGCGGAGCUGCCGGGUGGUGCUGGAUUUUACGGAAAUGGUGGACAGAGCUCACGGGUGACUGUGUUCAGUGCUCCAUGCGGUAGAUGCUAAACCUGCCAGCAGGCCACACAGAUGCUGUGAUGAUGGAGAAGGAUUCCUGCUCCAAUCUGGCUUCAGUCAGCCCUAGGAAGUCAUUCCUCAUGUUCUGCCUUAAGCGUUUGCAUAGGGUGUAAAAAUAUGCCCAACAACAUGCCAUUGGUUUUGUUCUCGAACAAAUGAAAAUCAUCAACCGUUGGGAAAGAGCCAAGUCCAUGGUCAGUGGUUUGCACAAUGGCUCCUUCUUCUUAAGAUGCCUGAUGUCCUUUUUUUUCAUAUUAAAAUAUGAGAAAUUUUGGCCCUGAAGGAAUAGGUGAGACAAUUCAUUUGAGAACCAUUAAGCAGACCCAAUUGAAACAAUAUAAACCAUCUUUACUCUAUAUUAUU